GUGGUCAGUGACUGGAAAUUUAAUUACACGUGUAUUGUCAGAUUAACUCUUCAAUCAAUUUAAAUGCCGGAGGUCAUGUUUUGACAUAUGUGUACUAGUUCGAGAUAAAUAAUGAAUUUUUAAUGCUUUUGUUAACCUUGGGAUCGUAAAUUUAGUUCGACUCAACCGAAAUUUCGACUAAUCCAAUUUCGACUCAUCAGGAGUCGAAUUACAUACAUUUAUAUGGAACAAAGUUCGGGACCACGUGAAAACUUCGACUCAUCCGAAAUUUCGAGUCAACCGAGUUCGAGACAACGAGAGUUAACUGUAUUUGAAUUUUACAUU
rnacentral:lncRNA from 1 species